GCCGGAUUAGUGUAGUGGCUAUCACAUUGGACUCUGAAUCCAAUAACCUCAGUUCGACUCUGAGAUUCGGCU